AGAGUUUGAUCAUGGCUCAGAACGAACGCUGGCGGCAGGCCUAACACAUGCAAGUCGAACGGGCGUAGCAAUACGUCAGUGGCAGACGGGUGAAUAACACGUGGGAACCUUCCUCGUAGUGCGGAACAACUCAGGGAAACUUGAGCUAAUACCGCAUACGCCCCGGAGCAAUCCGGGGGAAAGAUUUAUCGCUAUGAGACGGGCCCGCGUCCGAUUAGCUAGUUGGUGGGGUAACGGCCUACCAAGGCAACGAUCGGUAGCUGAUCUGAGAGGAUGAUCAGCCACACUGGGACUGAGACACGGCCCAGACUCCUACGGGAGGCAGCAGUGGGGAAUCUUGGACAAUGGGCGAAAGCCUGAUCCAGCCAUGCCGCGUGAGUGAAGAAGGCCUUAGGGUUGUAAAGCUCUUUGGCAGGGACGAUAAUGACGGUACCUGCAGAAUAAGCCCCGGCAAACUUUCGUGCCAGCAGCCGCGGUA
rnacentral:rRNA from 1 species